rnacentral:ncRNA from 1 species
CUAAAAGUGAUGAUAGAGAAAGUAUGUAUUUAAAAACUUUGAGAGAGGAAGUGUCGUAGGCUGAAAGCACUUCUAUGUUUGAAAAUACAGAAGUUCACUCUUGAACUGCUAGGUUGAAAUAGUAGUAGACUUAUGCCGGUUUUUUUACCGUUAACAUAAUGAGUGAUUUGAUGAACAAUCAAAUUAUUAGGGUGGUACCACGGAAAGCCUUCGUCCCUUUG